AUUCUUUUUUUUCUUUUUUUUUCUGCAACCAACGUGCUAUAAAAUUUUGACAUGUCUCGCUCCAGAGACUCAGUACGAGUAGGCAGUAUGCAAUGAGUUACAGAACAGGUGGCGCAGUUCCGUAUAAUAGUGUGUGUGACAACUGUAUAAAGUUGAAAAUGACACCUAACACCAAUACAUCGCUGAUCUUGCCUACGUCACUAUUUGUGUUUACAAUUUAAAAUCCCUUGACGCGAAAGCAAAAAGUGCGCGAGUUCGGAAGUUUUUCCACUUUUUUCGUAUAGUUUUAACACUUUCUGGUAAAUUUUGAUAGAAUUCCGCAGUGUGCAGUCAGUGUGUGCAAGAUAACGACACAGGAAUCGAAGAACAGUGAUAUUUGCAUAAGUUUUCACACUUUCCCCAAAGAACCAUGCAAGCGAUCGAAAUGGGUGACAUUUUGUGGGCUCAUCAAAGAUCCGGGUACAUCGCUUUAUGUAUGCUCCCAGCAUUUCACAUCUGACGAUUUUGUGUUCAAUGCUUCGAUCCGAAAAUCGUUGACAGGUGCAGAUCAAAAUAGUCUGCUUUUCCCACCAUUCGUACUCCGGAAUCGUCAUGCGAUGAGUAGAGGUCGUUCCCAAAGUUUUCAACGGGCGGAAGGAACUUGUGGUUAACCUUUUGCAAAAUCACUGUUCACUGGAGGCGGAGAAAUCGGAAAACGUUAAUAGUUGAAAAUGGAUCUUCUUGCGAUGUUUCACCGUUCCAAAAGGAACAGAACAUACGUGAUUCCGACUUAAACAUGGAUGUUUUGAUAGAGGCGAUUGAGCUGGCCAAUCUCUCUACCGCUACGAAGUUCAGAUGUUGAUAGCCUGAACGAUUCCGAUUGGUCAGAGUUCGUCAGUCAUGAUGGGCUCAAUUCUACUCAUGUCAUGUUAGAGGAAGUGGUAAGAUUGGUAAUGCUGAGAACACUACGAACGCUGAUCAAACGCAAGCAAGAUAUAAAAUCCAGCCAAUGACAACCAAAUAUGUACCUUAUUGUUUCUGAGCAUUGUUUCACCACAGUGUUAUUUAAUUACGUGUUAAUCUUUUCAGCUGCUCAGAAACAACAAGCUACACACUUGGUUACUAAUAGUUUUUACGGCGUCAUCAAAAAGUAUGCAUUAGUUAUUUAUACAGAUGGAAUACCCUAUUUCGUGCUAGGCAAACCUGAAUUAAAUAUAUGAUUAUUUUGAAUA